AACGUAGGGACCAAGCGUUAUCCGGAUUUACUGGGCGUAAAGCGCGUGCAGGCGGCCCAUCAAGUCGGACGUGAAAGCUCCUGGCUCAACUGGGAGAGGCCGUUCGAGACUGGUGGGCUUGAGGAUGAGAGAGGUGAGUGGAAUUCCCGGUGUAGUGGUGAAAUGCGUAGAUAUCGGGAGGAACACCAGUGGCGAAAGCGGCUCACUGGCUCAUCACUGACGCUCAGACGCGAAAGCUAGGGGAGAGAACGGG
rnacentral:misc_RNA from 1 species